GUCCUCUUCAUUCACCAGGUACACACAUGUUACGCAUAUAUACAUGAAGGCACGUGGUUCUUUUGUUCUGAGAAUACACAAACUUUUAAAGGGACCUCAGGAUAUUCACAGAGUGCCGUUCAACUUGACAAUUGUACCAGAAAACAGAAUCCAGGUGCUAGGGUUGGUAUCCCUGCUCAGGACCUCCCCGCUAUCUUUACCUUCAAAGAGACACAAGGUUGGCAGUCUCUUCAUAUUUUAUUAGGCUCUACUUUUUUUGGGGGGGGGGGUUGUCAUAUAAAUUUUGAAAUAA